UGAGCAACCUACCGAACUGUGGGGGAUAGCCGGCCUAACGGCCGAGUAAUACCGCAUACGCUCUCAGGGAGGCAUUUUCUUUGAGAGGAAACCUACGGGACAGAUCGAGGGGCUCGCGGCCUAUCAGCUAGUUGGCGAGGUAACGGCUCACCAAGGCAACGACGGGUAGCUGGU
rnacentral:rRNA from 1 species